rnacentral:lncRNA from 1 species
UCCACCCCCACUUCCCGUCUGAUGGGCUUCACUGNAUACCGUGUUCUCGACGUCAUAAGCCAUUGUUGAUAAGGGAGCCAAUCAUAUUGCAUGUUAGAAAAUAUGCAAAUUUUAUAUUGCUACCGCCAAAAAAAUCACGAGGAGAAAUCGCCUCUAUGAUAUGGAUGACUCGUUAUGUUUAAUUCCACUCCGCAAAAAGCAGUGAUUUCUACUUUAAAUCUUCAAUGUAUAAUAUGCGGAUUUCAAGUGUCAUCUCAAGAUAGGGUAUCGAUAUUUGGUAGAUCAAAAUUCGAUUUAAAAGGAGCAAUUUCGGAGCUUGUUGGCGGUGAACUUCAGUGUGGCGACCAAAAUCACUAUCUUUGCACAAAGAAAUGUCUUGNCAAGAUAAAGAAAUAUUUAAAGCUGUCGGAGAAUUUAACAGAACUAAGGGGCGCAUUAAAGAAAGAGCUAACGUCGGCAACGUCUCGAAUUCGAAUUAAGAGAGGAUUCUCAGAAGAUUUAGACUUGUCACCUAUCAAAAAUCGCUCACAAACAACAACAACAAACGGCUCGAUCGCUUGUAGUACUCCUGCGCCAGUGUCCAAAGCUACAGCCAACGAGACACCUUUUCGAACAUGUUUAUUCCCAGUGAACGAUGUUAUUACUCCAUUAGUUAUAAGCAAUAUAAGUCAAGCGCCUGGAAAGUCUUCGUCGAGUUCGUCUUCGCAUGCACAAGAGAAAUCAACUGUUGUGACUGUAUUUAGNGCGCCUUUAGUGGUAAAAUGUCCUGGCAACAAAAAUCCUUCGCAAUCUCUAGUUCAAAUACCGAUUCCUUCAGCACAAUUUCCUGAGAAACCGCCAUCGAAGUCAUCAAAAAAAUCCGAGCAAUCAACUACUAUAGACAAGAAACCUUCUGUGCAGGUACGUUUAUUUCGGUCAGAUUGUCUGAUCGAUUGUCUAUUCUUUGUCUAUAUUCUAUACGUAAUGUAUUUUAAGUGUUAAAGGCUUUACUUUGCUUAUUACUUAAGUACUUGUGGUGUUAUAGCUUUAAACUGGAUAAUAAACUUACCAAUAACCUUAAUGAAUACAUAUAAAGAUCAGUAUUUAUGUGAGCACAAUAGCCGUUCUUAUAUAGGCAAAUAAACAAUUAAAAAGCUAGUUGCUAUAUUAUGUAGUUUAAAACCCAUAUUUAUUUUAAUAGGUCAUACUUAAGUAUCCAAACUGUGACAAAGCAUACAGGAAUUAUCUAGAAGAAAGCUUACAUCCUCUAGGAAAAGCUCUAGCUAGGAGGUUUUCUUACCCAAAGAUUGCAACAGCCAUCUUUCGUUCUGAGCCUCUAAAGAAAGCAGUCAUNAAACAGAUCUUAACAAUUUUGGCCAAAGAAUGUGUGAACUUGUGUUCNAAGAAAAAUCCAUCCAUAUUGAGAUCAAAAGAACCAAAUGAGAUGUUGCAUUUUAAGCUAUCAGAUGUCUGUGCUGAGUUCCAAUGCAGAGCACCACUCUUUUAUUCUGUACUACUUACAUGUGCUACAUCCAACAAAGAGAUAGAUUGGUUGCCCUCUGUAGCAGUGGCAGGUUCAGUCUUACUUAAACAGCGCAACAUGCAUAUGAAUGCUACUCAGUCAUUGAUAUCACUAAUGGUCAAGCAAGAUGGAAUACAGAAACUGCUGAAUCGCCUCAACACAAUAAAGCUCACAUUGUCUUCCAAAACAACACUGAAGAGGCUAGAUUCUUUUGGUUCUAUGUUUAAGCAGGAGCUGAAAAAGUUAAAAGUCAACUGUACCGAGAUCACCUCAAGUCAAAGGGACAACUCUAACCGACAAUCAACUUCAAUCCCAACCAAUGCAGAGAAUUCUAACCAACAACCAACUUUGACUGCAACCUCUGACAACUCUA